CCGGGCGUUAAGUUGCAGGGUAUAGACCCGAAACCCGGUGAUCUAGCCAUGGGCAGGUUGAAGGUUGGGUAACACUAACUGGAGGACCGAACCGACUAAUGUUGAAAAAUUAGCGGAUGACCUGUGGCUGGGGGUGAAAGGCCAAUCAAACCGGGAGAUAGCUGGUUCUCCCCGAAAGCUAUUUAGGUAGCGCCUCGUGAAUUCAUCUCCGGGGGUAGAGCACUGUUUCGGCUAGGGGGCCAUCCCGGCUUACCAACCCGAUGCAAACUGCGAAUACCGGAGAAUGUUAUCACGGGAGACACACGGCGGGUGCUAACGUCCGUCGUGAAGAGGGAAACAACCCAGACCGCCAGCUAAGGUCCCAAAGUCAUGGUUAAGUGGGAAACGAUGUGGGAAGGCCCAGACAGCCAGGAUGUUGGCUUAGAAGCAGCCAUCAUUUAAAGAAAGCGUAAUAGCUCACUGGUCGAGUCGGCCUGCGCGGAAGAUGUAACGGGGCUAAACCAUGCACCGAAGCUGCGGCAGCGACACUGUGUGUUGUUGGGUAGGGGAGCGUUCUGUAAGCCUGUGAAGGUGUGUCGUGAGGCAUGCUGGAGGUAUCAGAAGUGCGAAUGCUGACAUAAGUAACGAUAAAGCGGGUGAAAAGCCCGCUCGCCGGAAGACCAAGGGUUCCUGUCCAACGUUAAUCGGGGCAGGGUGAGUCGACCCCUAAGGCGAGGCCGAAAGGCGUAGUCGAUGGGAAACGGGUUAAUAUUCCCGUACUUGGUGUUACUGCGAAGGGGGGACGGAGAAGGCUAUGUUGGCCGGGCGACGGUUGUCCCGGUUUAAGCGUGUAGGUGUGUGUUCCAGGUAAAUCCGGUUCACUUUAACACUGAGGCGUGACGACGAGGCACUACGGUGCUGAAGCAACAAAUGCCCUGCUUCCAGGAAAAGCCUCUAAGCAUCAGGUAACAUCAAAUCGUACCCCAAACCGACACAGGUGGUCAGGUAGAGAAUACCAAGGCGCUUGAGAGAACUCGGGUGAAGGAACUAGGCAAAAUGGUGCCGUAACUUCGGGAGAAGGCACGCUGACACGUAGGUGAAGUGAUUUACUCAUGGAGCUGAAGUCAGUCGAAGAUACCAGCUGGCUGCAACUGUUUAUUAAAAACACAGCACUGUGCAAACACGAAAGUGGACGUAUACGGUGUGACGCCUGCCCGGUGCCGGAAGGUUAAUUGAUGGGGUCAGCGCAAGCGAAGCUCCUGAUCGAAGCCCCGGUAAACGGCGGCCGUAACUAUAACGGUCCUAAGGUAGCGAAAUUCCUUGUCGGGUAAGUUCCGACCUGCACGAAUGGCGUAAUGAUGGCCAGGCUGUCUCCACCCGAGACUCAGUGAAAUUGAACUCGCUGUGAAGAUGCAGUGUACCCGCGGCAAGACGGAAAGACCCCGUGAACCUUUACUAUAGCUUGACACUGAACAUUGAGCCUUGAUGUGUAGGAUAGGUGGGAGGCUUUGAAGUGUGGACGCCAGUCUGCAUGGAGCCGACCUUGAAAUACCACCCUUUAAUGUUUGAUGUUCUAACGUGGACCCGUUACCCGGGUUGCGGACAGUGUCUGGUGGGUAGUUUGACUGGGGCGGUCUCCUCCUAAAGAGUAACGGAGGAGCACGAAGGUUG
rnacentral:rRNA from 1 species